rnacentral:rRNA from 1 species
AUACGGAGGAUCCGAGCGUUAUCCGGAUUUAUUGGGUUUAAAGGGAGCGUAGGCGGACGCUUAAGUCAGUUGUGAAAGUUUGCGGCUCAACCGUAAAAUUGCAGUUGAUACUGGGUGUCUUGAGUACAGUAGAGGCAGGCGGGAAUCGGGGGGUAGGGGGUGAAUGCUUAGAUAUCACGAAGAACACCGAUUGCGAAGGCAGCCUGCUGGACUGUAACUGACGCUGAUGCUCGAAAGUGUGGGUAUCAAACAGGAUUAGAUACCCUGGUAGUCCACACAGUAAACGAUGAAUACUCGCUGUUUGCGAUAUACAGUAAGCGGCCAAGCGAAAGCGUUAAGUAUUCCACCUGGGGAGUACGCCGGCAACGGUGAAACUCAAAGGAAUUGACGGGG